rnacentral:tRNA from 1 species
GGAGGAGUGGCCGAGUGGUUGAAGGCGGCACCCUGCUAAGGUGUUAUACCUCUCAACGGGGUAUCGAGGGUUCGAAUCCCUCCUCCUCCGCCA